UUAACCUACCUUCUUCCCGAGUCAAACCCCACCUUUCUCUCUCUCUCCCCCCCCACUUUCCUCUCCUCCACACCCAACCCCCGGUCGCCUCACCUUCUCCCGUGCCGUCCUCCCCAAUCCCGGUCACCUCCCUUUCGAUCUCCGCCGGCCACGCCACUCCAUCGCCCCAGCACCCGCAGAGCGCGCGCCUUCAUCUACCAGCGAUGGUGGCCUCACCGCCUCGCCGGCGCAUGGAUCCAGCACCGCACGCAACCGGCCCACCUUGAUCUGCCGCCUGCCCUCCCCACGUUCUCUGGCGAGGUGAGCCUCACUUCCCACUAUAUAUUCUUCCCCAUCUGCGUAUGGCACCCUCCCACCUUCUUCCACCCCGCGCCCGCCGCCCUCCAUGGCCCCCUCCCUGGCCCCACCGCGCGACGCCGGCCCACCCCGUCGACGGCCUCAGCCCCGCCCAGCCCUUGAUGCCGUCCGGCGCCCCUGCCUUCGAACAAGCCCGACGACACUGCCGCGACCAAUUCCAAAUUGCCCACCGCCCCGGGGCUGAUGCAGGCGCGCCGCCCUCAAGCGUCGCGCGCGGCUGCCGGUGCGGAUCUGGCCCGCGGCCAUGGGAUCAGGGCGGAGCUGGCCCUGCUGCGUCAUUAGCAGACGGGAUCGAGCAGCAACCGUCGUUGACCCACGCAUGCUCCCUCGCCGAUGGCCCUGGUCCGUUUAUCCACGAUUUCUCGUGACCCUCAGGUCAUCGGGAUCGAAUGGGCUGCCCCACAUCGGUGCCUCUUCGCGCAUCUGCGGGCGUCCAACCUCACGCCCGGACGGUUUGCUGCCGCCUGUGGUAGCCGUGGACCCGUGGUCCAAGGCCGGAGGAGCUCCACCUCACCUGCAGCCGCCUAGAGUGCGCGAAGACGGUCAACAACGGCGAUGGCAUCCUGGGAACACAAGUUGCCGCCGAUGCAGUUUGCAAAAGGCCUUUUUUCUCUUUGUUUUUGCAGAUUUUGGAUGUGCACUUCAUCUUGUGCGCAGAUUUUGGAUGUGCGGUUGCCCAAUGCAGUGCGCUUCUGAUUUCCGCCACCUGCUUGACGAAUGAAAGAAGUCAUACUGUUAUUGAUUUGAGAAAAAAAAUGCAGAACAAAUUCGGUGGUUGCCCCGGCCGAGGGAGCCCUCUCCGCGGCUCAGCGAAGUUUGUUUUUGCAGCUCACAAAAGUUUGUUUUGCAGCUCGCUUGCUGAGUGAAGUACGUCCGGCGACUGCGUGCGGUUCGGCAACGCAAAGCAUUUGCAUUCUCGCUGUGUUGAUGUGUGCAGUACAUUUUAUAAAAAGUUGCAGUUGGGUUGUAUUUUGUGGGUGAUUGUAAUGUGGAGACAGAAAAAUGGACUUUGUGUGGAUUACUUAGUUUGUAAAAGAAAAACUUGGUAAAAGCAGUGCGCUCGGUGAACCGAAGAAGUACAUUUUUUCAAAUUGUUGUACUUCAUUGUUAAAAUCUUUGUGGUUCCCUUAUUGCAGUGCACACGAAAGUAAAAAUGCAUUGGGAGCUGCAGUGCACUUUGUUGUUGCGUACGCACGAUGAUUUUCAGUCUAUUUGAUGCAGCUCGAUUUUGGUCUGAAGCAG
rnacentral:lncRNA from 1 species